rnacentral:lncRNA from 11 species
CGUGGUUCCCGUGGAGAUGAGUCAAGCCAAGGAGAGAGAGGCAGGCAGAGGAGUCCCAUGGAAACAGCUAAGUCCCUCUGAUGGAGGGAAAGACUGAAUUAACAAAAUGGGGAGUAAGAAAUGAUAGAUAUAUGCUCUGUAAAAACAUGUUAUAACAAAUUGUUUAUUUUCCUGCUAAGGUGUCAAAACAUCACCUUUCCAGUGCAUUUCUACAUUUUGAAGGAGAUUGGAAGAAAGGAAUCAAUCCAAGAGAUGAAAAUAGAAACAAACUGGUGUGAGAAAGAGACCUGGAGACAUACUGAAGCUAUAAACGGACCUCUUCUUCAGGAAUUGACCAGAAAAUGUAAAGGGGAUGAUAGUUCUGAAAUUAAUCCAAAAGAGAGAAAUGGGACAAAUGUCACAGGCAAAUAUGAUAAACAUGAAGAUUUUUGUCCCGGAAAAGUAUGA